AUUUAUAUAAUAUAUUUAGUAUAUUUGACUUCCAAUCAAAAAGUUUAUUUUUAAUAUAAAUA
rnacentral:tRNA from 1 species